rnacentral:misc_RNA from 1 species
AAGUCGUAACAAGGUUUCCGUAGGUGAACCUGCGGAAGGAUCAUUACCAAUAAUUAAAAUUCUAACCCAUGUGCACUAUGGAAUAGUCCUGGUUUUUGGGGUGGGCUGCUUUAGUGGUUCGCCCCAACCAUUUUGUUAAACUACUGAUUAUAUUUUCAUGGCAUCAUAAAUUGUCUUAAUAAAUAUAUGACAACUUUUAACGGUGGAUCUCUUGGCUCGU